rfam:Rattus norvegicus chromosome 3, whole genome shotgun sequence.
GGGGAUUUAGCUCAGUGGUAGAGCGCUUGCCUAGCAAGUGCAAAGCCCUGGGUUCGGUCCCCAGCUCUG